AUUGAACGCUGGCGGCAUGCCUUACACAUGCAAGCCGAGCGGAGUGAUGGUGCUUGCACUAUCACUUAGCGGCGGACGGGUGAGUAAUGCUUAGGAAUCUGCCAUUUAGUGGGGGACAACAUUCCGAAAGGAAUGCUAAUACCGCAUACGUCCUACGGGAGAAAGCAGGGGAUCUUCGGACCUUGCGCUAAAUGAUGAGCCUAAGUCGGAUUAGCUAGUUGGUGGGGUAAAGGCCUACCAAGGCGACGAUCUGUAGCGGGUCUGAGAGGAUGAUCCGCCACACUGGGACUGAGACACGGGCCAGACUCCUACGGGAGGCAGCAGUGGGGAAUAUUGGACAAUGGGCGGAAGCCUGAUCCAGCCAUGCCGCGUGUGUGAAGAAGGCCUUUUGGUUGUAAAGCACUUUAAGCGAGGAGGAGGCUACUAGUACUAAUACUACUGGAUAGUGGACGUUACUCGCAGAAUAAGCACCGGCUAACUCUGUGCCAGCAGCCGCCGUAAUAC
rnacentral:rRNA from 1 species